rnacentral:tRNA from 1 species
GCUUCUCUAGCUCGGUUGGCUAGAGCACCCGUUUAGUAAGCGGGAGAUCUUAAGUUUAACUCUCAGUGGAAGCA